UACGUAGGGGGCAAGCGUUGUCCGGAUUUAUUGGGCGUAAAGAGCUCGUAGGUGGUUUGUCGCGUUGUUCGUGAAAACUCACAACUCAAUUGUGGGCGUGCGGGCGAUACGGGCAGACUGGAGUACUGCAGGGGAGACUGGAAUUCCUGGUGUAGCGGUGGAAUGCGCAGAUAUCAGGAGGAACACCGGUGGCGAAGGCGGGUCUCUGGGCAGUAACUGACGCUGAGGAGCGAAAGCGUGGGGAGCGAACAGG
rnacentral:rRNA from 1 species